rnacentral:pre_miRNA from 1 species
UAGCACCGGAAUGUAGAUAUCAAAACACAGACUAAGACUGGUUCUGAUCUCUCUGUUCCCCGUGUGCAGA